rnacentral:rRNA from 1 species
UAAUACGGAGGGUGCAAGCGUUGUUCGGAAUUACUGGGCGUAAAGGGCGCGUAGGCGGUAAUAUAAGUCAAAUGUGAAAUCCUCCAGCUUAACUGGAGAACAGCAUCUGAAACUGUGUAACUAGAGUACAGGAGAGGGAAACGGAAUUCCCGGUGUAGAGGUGAAAUUCGUAGAUAUCGGGAGGAACACCAGUGGCGAAGGCGGUUUCCUGGCCUGAUACUGACGCUGAGGCGCGAAAGCGUGGGGAGCAAACAGG